UCCAAUUAUAGAAUAAAGACCCGACUCAUACCCGCUAAACAACCUUUUUGAACCGUGUUCAACUAUGAUUCAGUUGCAGCCAUGGUUAAGUCUCAUUACUUUCAUUUUCCCGCCAACAAAAUAGUUCUUACAAUUAUUUUUACACAGCUAGAUGUUGAAAACGAUGUGGCUCCAGUACAAGAAGCUGCGCAAGGCGAUUGGGCUAUGAAGUGGAUCAAUCACGAGAUUUGCUAGAUAAACAAGUAAUAGGGGUGGUAAGUGGUUUGACUAGCACCCGCCCAACCCAACACCCAAACCAAAUCAACCUGUCAAACAGUGAAUGGGAUGGGGUUGAUGCUAUGUUCCUGAUGUUGUGAAUGGUCAAAGCAAGGUGAAGAAUAUUUCAAGCAGCUGUUAUUUGCCAUGGUUUUUUUAAUCUCAAUAUCUACAGGAAUCAUCAAAGGAUCGAAAGCUUUAUAUGAUCACUAGUACACAGACUCAAUAUCACAGUUUCAAUACAAAGUGAUAGACAAAGUGUUGUGGUGCUGUAAAAAUGGUUUAUUAUCCUCCAAUCUGGUUAGUUGUUGGUUCUAUUUAUUUGUGUCUAAAACUAAAACCGUUGUUAGUUUUGGCACUGAUGAACUUUGCUUACUUUUUCUUAGGUUUUGGUUGCUUUGAGUUCAUUCUCAAGAUUAGAUAGAAUAUAUUCACUUCUCUAAGAUGAGAGUAUCUAGACAUUUAAUAUUGCCUGAAUUUCUGUUGUUUUUGAAAUUCGAAAA